rnacentral:tmRNA from 1 species
GGGGCUGAUUCAGGAUUCGACAGGAUCAAGAAGGCUUGUGGAGCAUGCCGAGGGGCGGUUGGCCUCGUUAAAAGCCGCAAAAAAAUAGUCGCAAACGACGAAAACUACGCACUAGCAGCUUAAUAACCUGCAUAGAGCCUACUCUCCCUAGCCUCCGCCUGUAGGACGGGGAAUCAAGAGUAGUCAAACCCAAUCAGGAUCGCGUGGAAGUUUUGGCUCGAGAGCGGAAGCGUUAAACUCAAUUCGGGUAUGUCUUUGUGUGGCGUGUCUUUCCGCAGCACACUGACGAGAAUAAAGAAAGACUAAGCAUGUAGCGCCAUUAGUUAGACUGAUUUUGGACGCGGGUUCAACUCCCGCCAGCUCCACCA